rnacentral:rRNA from 1 species
GACGAACGCUGGCGGCGUGCUUAACACAUGCAAGUCGAACGGAAAGGCCCUGCUUUUGUGGGUUGCUCGAGUGGCGAACGGGUGAGUAACACGCGAGUAACCUGCCCUUGACUUUGGGAUAACUCUAGGAGACUGGGGCUAAUACCGGAUAGGAGCUCCUGCUGCAUGGUGGGGGUUGGAAAGUGUCGGCGGUUGGGGAUGGACUCGCUGGUUAUGGGCUUGUUAGUGGGGUAGGGGUUUACCAAGGCUAUGACGGAUAGCCCGCCUGGGAGGGUGACCGGCGACAUGGGGACUAAGAGACGGAGCAGUAGCCAACCGUCGGCAGCAGGCGGAAGCCUUGCGGAGCAAGCGGGCGCGAGAGGUAGAGGCGCUGCGUGCGGAAUGCCGUCCUACGGGUGAUGAACCACUGUGGCCUUAACCGAGGCGUGCGUGACGGUAAUGGGUCAAGAAGCCCCGGCUAACUACGUG